GAUGAACGCUGGCGGCGUGCUUAACACAUGCAAGUCGAGCGGAAGCAAAGACACGGAAUUUUUCGGAAGGAAGUGUGUUAGCUUUAGCGGCGGACGGGUGAGUAACGCGUGGAUAACCUGCCUCAUACAGGGGGAUAACAGUUAGAAAUGACUGCUAAUACCGCAUAAGCACACGGGAGCGCAUGCUUCCGGGUGAAAAGCUCCGGCGGUAUGAGAUGGAUCCGCGUCUGAUUAGCUGGUUGGCGGGGUAACGGCCCACCAAGGCGACGAUCAGUAGCCGACCUGAGAGGGUGGCCGGCCACAUUGGGACUGAGACACGGCCCAA
rnacentral:rRNA from 1 species